GCCUGGUUGGCUCAGUAGGUUAAGCAUCUGGCUUUAGCUCAGGUCAUGAUCUCACGGUUUGUGGGUUCAGGCCCUGCAUCAGGCU
rnacentral:tRNA from 1 species